rnacentral:rRNA from 1 species
UACGGGGGGAGCAAGCGUUGUUCGGAUUUACUGGGCGUAAAGGGCGCGUAGGCGGCCACCGCAAGUCGGUUGUGAAAUCUCCGGGCUUAACCCGGAAAGGUCAAUCGAUAGUGCGGGGCUAGAGUGCAGAAGGGGCAACUGGAAUUCUCGGUGUAGCGGUGAAAUGCGUAGAUAUCGAGAGGAACACCUGCGGCGAAGGCGGCAUCCUGGACCGACACUGACGCUGAGGCGCGAAAGCUAGGGUAGCAAACGGG